CCUACGGGAGGCAGCAGUGAGGAAUAUUGGUCAAUGGCCGAGAGGCUGAACCAGCCAAGUCGCGUGAGGGAAGACGGCCCUACGGGUUGUAAACCUCUUUUGUCGGGGAGCAAAGCGAACCACGUGUGGUUCCUUGAGAGUACCCGAAGAAAAAGCAUCGGCUAACUCCGUGCCCGCAGCCGCGGUAAUACGGAGGAUGCGAGCGUUAUCCGGAUUUAUUGGGUUUAAAGGGAGCGUAGAUGGGUUGUUAAGUCAGUUGUGAAAGUUUGCGGCUCAACCGUAAAAUUGCAAUUGAUACUGGCAGUCUUGAGUACAGUUGAGGUAGGCGGAAUUCGUGGUGUAGCGGUGAAAUGCUUAGAUAUCACGAAGAACUCCGAUUGCGAAGGCAGCUUACUAAACUGCCACUGACAUUGAUGCUCGAAAGUGUGGGUAUCAAACAGGAUUAGAUACCCCUGUAGUC
rnacentral:rRNA from 1 species